GACGAACCGUGCGAACGUUGUUCGGAAUCACUGGGCUUAAAGGGCGCGUAGGCGGGCUAUCAAGUCCGGGGUGAAAUCCUCCCGCUCAACGGGAGAACGGCCUCGGAUACUGAUGGUCUCGAGGGGGAUAGGGGCACGCGGAACUGUGGGUGGAGCGGUGAAAUGCGUUGAUAUCCAUAGGAACUCCGGUGGCGAAAGCGGCGUGCUGGAUCCCUUCUGACGCUGAGGCGCGAAAGCCAGGGGAGCAAUCGGG
rnacentral:rRNA from 1 species